UGAUGCCGGCCCUGGGGAAGGGAGGCCCCCUCCCCCGGCCGAGCUGUCUCCGCGGCGCCUGCUCCUCCCGGAGGGCCGGCCGGCUGGGGCAGGAGUCCGGCUGCGGGGGGAGGAAGCGGGGGGUGGGGGGGGUGAGAAAGUUCUGCCCCAGGGGCUGGAGCGAGCGCGAAUGUCCACCGCCAGCGAAGUGCCUGGCCACCGGGGACUCCACCGCCCGGGCGGCGGACGAGUGCAGCCCAGCUCCUCGCCCCCACCUCCUCCUACUGCGGCUGUCUCGUCGCGAGGCUCCCCGGGACGAAGGCUAGAGGGUGCAGUGCCACCCGGCGCUCGGGUCCAAUCUUGCUGAAGAAGCGGCUUCCCCGGAGGACCGGGGGAGGAGCUGGCAGCCGCGAGGCGCUUCUCCCCCUCCGCAGAGGUCGGCCGGCCGUUCCGCUGGCGGCGGAUGGGCGUGCACGGCCGCGAGUGCAGCCGCCGCGGUCACUGCUUCCAGGACGCACGAGAGCCGAGGAGAGAAGGCGUGCACGCCAGCAGGCUCCCGCCGCCGACCCCAGCCCCUCCACCCACCCGCCCGCCCGCCCCGGGCCUGGCCGGCGGCGCCGGGGGGCCCCUCGCAGCUGGCGGCGCUCACGUUGGCUGCAGGGCGCUCGCGCGGCGCCUCGGCCCGGGUCGCAUCCCUUUCCCAGCUAGCGCUCGCCCGGAAUGUGGGGUUGUGAUUGUUAAAACUCUACGUUCCGGAGGCGCGGCGCGGCGCUCCCGCUCGCGCUGCGGCUCGCGCUGUCCCGGGCUUGGCCGCGCGGGAUGCCGCCCGGGCGGAGCGCUGACGUCACCACCACGCUCUGCACCAGUUCUCCCCCCCUCCCGCGCCGCCCCUCCCCUUUACACUUCCUCCGUGGAGCCCACUUGUUGCUCGGAAAAGCGCAUGCGCGGCAGGCCGCCCAGAUUCCUCCCAGUUGGCCCCUCCUCCGCGCCUCCGCCCUCCCCUCCCCCCCUGGCCUUGCGUGAGUGCGUGUGUGCGUGUGUGUGUGUGUGUGUUUGUGUGUGUGUACAACAGCUGAGGCCCGGCGAGCUGAUGCUGGAAGUCCAGCGCUGGAGCGGGGAGGGGGGCUUGGAAAUUAAAACAGACGAUGACCUUUCCUUUCCCCGCCUGGCUUUCCCAAGUUUAAAACGCUUUUCAAAAGCACGAGCGUCGCUUCCGAUCCCGCUCCCCACCCCAUCCCCGCCCCACCCCGGGGGCAGUGAAUUUAAAUAUGUCCUGUCUCAAGAUUUUUUUCGCUGUGAAUUUCAUAAUAUAAUAUAAAAUUUGCAUAUUUCAUCAGCAAUCAAACCUCUUUCCCCGCAUCCACGCCCCCCCCCCGGAUGAAUGUUACACUCAUUACUACCCCUGAUGCCGAAGCACCUGCAAGACUAGCUGUUCUCCAGUUUUCCAGAAACUGCCUUUCCGCUUUUGUUUUUGUGCCCUGGUCUAGAAACCUGAGCUUCAGCGACGGAGCUAAAAUGAAUUCAGGGUGACACAACCCUCCCCCCAAGCCGCACUCUUUAAAAAUUUUGGCUGAAUGUCUAAAGAAGCUACGAGCACCCCCGGAGGCCUUUAAGGAAAACAGUCUACUGGCUGCGCACAGCUGCAGUUGGGGGCAGGGAGGGAGGUGCUGGAGAGACCAGACAGGUGAGUGGUUUUCCCCGGUUUGAUAAAAAGAAGGUGGGGACAGCCAUUUAAUAAUAUCGAUAGAGCUUUGUAAAACACCGCCGCCGUUUUUCAAAAUUCUUUUCUCUGUGCUGUGAUUUCAUUCCAUAGGGCCCUAGAAGGCUGAGCAAGGUCAUGAUUUCUUUUCUUGAUGAGACAAGAUCACGUCUCAUCAUUAGUGUUUAUUGAAGAACAGAUAUGUUGGUCAAAGGGGCAUUUCCACUGAUUCUUUCAAGUAUUGGUUUUUUCCAUGAAGACUAAGGUAGUCCUGGGCAAGAAGGGUGGCCAUGUAAUGGAAUUUCAGAUUCUGGAGUCUGACACACUUAGAAUUUUCUCUUACUGGCUUUGUGACCUUGAGCUAUUACAUAGCCUAACAUAACCUCUGUUUUCCAUCUGUAAAAUGGGAUCUGAGCUCCCACUUAAUUAGGAAUGUUUGAAUUGUCAUUGUAUUUCUUGUUAUAACUCAUUUUGACUUGCUGUGGUUCAGACACUGUUAGGUGGUUUACUUACGUUAUCAUUAAACCUUCAAUAUUAUCUACAAGGUAGAUUCUAUUGCUGUGUUUUACAAGCUCAGAAAACAAAGAGGUUAAAUAACUUGUCCAAGGUCACACACCCAUGAGAGACAGAACUGGGAUCUGAAUACUGUAAAUCUGUUUUGAAUGCUGCCUUUGACAAGUUUAGGUUCUCAGUGGUGUUUUGGAGUGCUCAAAAUUUCCAUCAGCCCGCCCCCCACCCCCAGUUUGUUACAUACAAUUCUCAUGUAAAGUGCUACGCAAAUACAUCUUCAUAACUGCCCCCCACCCUCCCCUUCCAAAUAGAUUGUGCCAUUGACUUCUUCCAUAGAAGCUGUGGACCUGCCACUGCCAGAGACUAGCAUAAAUAUGCCACACAUUGUGUAGAACAGUGUCAGGUAUAUAGAAAGCUGUGAGUAAUUGUUGGCUAUUAUUGGUAUCGAUAUUGAUGGUACUAUUGCUGAUUAACAUAUAGAAAUACUUUGUAAAUUACAUAGAACAUAAGGAUCCCUACUUUUAUCACUACUAUUACUACUAAUUGUAAAAAAAAAGUUCAGCUGAAGCAACAAGAA